GCCGCGUGAGCAGGCGCACUUCCUGGCUUCAGGUGUUGAGGAUACCCUGACUGUGUUCUGAAUUUUUCAGUGGAGCCGCUCUGUCUUCUGAAGUCUCUACUUGAUUAGAUGAGAUGGCAAGAAGGAGGACCUGACCAUUGGCCCCCUACUACCUUGUUUUUUCAUCAACAUUCCUAUAUCUCAGAGUUCCUGAAGACGACUGAGGACAUGAUUCUGAGAUCCAUCAUCAACACCCAAGCCCCUAUCUUUCACCAAGAAUGGGACAUCAGCUUUUCAAAUCAGAUGUUAUCUUCCAAAGGGAACAGACGUUGUCUUCUGCUUGAUCCUGAGCACCAACUCCAAGAAGAAAGUGUCUGAAAAACAAAUAGUGUUAUGGCAUGAUGUUAGAAAAAUUUUCAAAUCCUUGUUCCUAAAACUUCACAUUAGAAGAAUUGGAAUUUGAAAAACACCAGUAAAACUAAAUUACAAGAAAAUUCAAUUCAAGAGGAAGAUUAUGAAUAUAAUA
rnacentral:lncRNA from 1 species